rnacentral:rRNA from 1 species
GACGAACGCUGGCGGCGUGCUUAACACAUGCAAGUCGAACGGAAAGACCCUGCGUUUGUGUGUUUCUCGAUUGGCGAACGGGGGAGUAACACGUGAGUAUCCUGCCCUUAACUGUGUGAUAACUUCAGGAAACUGGGUCUAAUACCGGGGAUGAUCUCCUGCUGCAUAUGGGUGGUUGGAAAGUUUCGGCCGUUGUGGCUGUACUCGAGGGUUAUCAGCUGGUUGGUGUGGUAGUUACGUACCAAGCCUUUGAGGGGUAGCCGGCCUGAGAGGGUGACCGGGGACAUUGGGACUGAGAUAGGGCCCAGAAUGCUAUGGGAGGCAGUAGUGGGGAAUAUUGCACAAUGGGGGGAAGCGUGAUGCAGCAACGCCGCGUGCGGGAUGAUGGGCUUCGGGUUGUAAACCGAUUUCGAAUGUGACGAAGCGUGAGUGACGGUAAUGGGUCAAGAAGCAACGGCUAACUACGUG